rnacentral:pre_miRNA from 11 species
AGUACGGGAAAUGGCUAAAUAUCAGCUGGUAAUUCUGGGGUCGUUACCCCCAGGUUAUCAGUUGGUAUACAGUUGUUUUCCGAU